rnacentral:siRNA from 1 species
UCAGGAGAUUCUGGGUCGAAGCC